GAUGAACGCUAGCGGCAGGCCUAAUACAUGCAAGUCGAACGGUGUCUUCGGACAUAGUGGCGCACGGGUGCGUAACACGUAUGCAACCUACCUUACAUUGGGGGAUAGCCUUUCGAAAGGGAGAUUAAUACCGCAUAAGACAGUAACUAGGCAUCUAGUAGCUGUUAAAGAUUUAUCGAUGUAAGCUGGGCAUGCGUCCAAUUAGCUAGUUGGUGAGGUAACGGCUCACCAAGGCAAUGAUUGGUGGGGGAACUGAGAGGUCAAUCCCCCACACUGGCACGGAGAUACGGGCCAGACUCCGACGGGAGGCAGCAGUAGGGAAUAUUGGGCAAUGGACGCAAGUCUGACCCAGCCAUGCCGCGUGCAGGAUGAAGGCGUUAUGCGUUGUAAACUGCUUUUAUACAGGAAGAAACGACUCUUGCGAGAGGCAUUGACGGUACUGUAUGAAUAAGCACCGGCUAACUCCGUGCCAGCCGCCGCUGUAACAC
rnacentral:rRNA from 1 species